GCCUGGCUAGCUCAAUCGGUAGAGCGUUUGACUCUUAAUCAAAAGGCUGCGGGUUCGACCCCCGCGUCGGGCU
rnacentral:tRNA from 1 species